AUUGAACGCUGGCGGCAGGCCUAACACAUGCAAGUCGAGCGGUAGCACAAUGGAGCUUGCUCCCCGGGUGACGAGCGGCGGACGGGUGAGUAAUGUCUGGGAAACUGCCUGAUGGAGGGGGAUAACUACUGGAAAUGGUAGCUAAUACCGCAUAACGUCGCAAGACCAAAGAUGGGGACCUUCGGGCCUCACGCCAUCGGAUGCGCCCAGAUGGGAUUAGGUAGUAGGUGGGGUAACGGCUCACCUAGGCGACGAUCCCAAGUUGGUCUGAGAGGAGGAGCAGCCACCCUGGAACUGAGACACGGUCCAGACUACUACGGGAGGCAGGAGUGGGGAAUAUUGCACAAUGGGAGCAAGCAUGAUGCAGCCAUGCCGCGUGUGUGAAGAAGGCCUUGGGGUUGUAAAGCACUUCCAGCGAGGAGGAAGGCAUUAAGGUUAAUAACCUUGACGAUUGACGUUACUCGAAGAAGAAGCACCGGCUAACUCCGUGCCAGCCGCCGCCGUAA
rnacentral:rRNA from 1 species